UACGAAGGGGGCUAGCGUUGCUCGGAAUCACUGGGCGUAAAGGGCGCGUAGGCGGAUCUUUAAGUCGGGGGUGAAAGCCUGUGGCUCAACCACAGAAUUGCCUUCGAUACUGGGGAUCUCGAGACCGGAAGAGGUGAGUGGAACUGCGAGUGUAGAGGUGAAAUUCGUAGAUAUUCGCAAGAACACCAGUGGCGAAGGCGGCUCACUGGUCCGGUUCUGACGCUGAGGCGCGAAAGCGUGGGGAGCAAACAGGG
rnacentral:rRNA from 1 species